rnacentral:misc_RNA from 1 species
CCCUACCUCUACCCCUACCUCUGCCUCUUUCACUUGCCGCAACAAGUCUGAAAUCUGGUCAAGACUCGGAGGAGAAAACCUUGGUCGGAUCCGGGAGAUGAUGGGUCAGCGUUCACCGACUCCUCUCUACAUACCUUGUACAGUUCUUGUUUGUGUCAUGUAACAUCCAUGUUACGAAGUAUUCAAAGUAGUAAAGUCUAUAUGUG